UUAUCAUAUAUUGAAUAAAAGAGAGAUGGUAUGAGUUAAAACAUUAUUUUCACAUUGGAGAGUAAAUGAAUAUUUCCUAUGGUUGAUGAAUCAAUAUAUAAAAUGUAAUAUUUUGGAGUUCCUGUCAUGGCGCAGUGGUUAACGAAUCCGACUAGGAACCAUGAGGUUGCGGGUUCGGUCCCUGCCCUUGCUCAUGGGUUAACGAUCUGGCGUUGCCGUGAGCUGUGGUGUAGGUUGCAGACGCGGCUCGGAUCCCACGUUGCUGUGGCUCUGGUGUAGGCCGGUGGCUACAGCUCCGAUUAGACCCCUAGCCUGGGAACCUCCAUAUGCCGCAGAAGCGGCCCAAAGAAAUAGCAAAAAAGACCAAAAAUAAAUAAAUAAAUAAAUAAAUAAAUAAAAUGUAAUAUUUUAUAUGGAGUUUUGAAGUAACCUCAUGAAAAAAAAUAAUGUGACAAAUUCUCUGGAGUGAGUUUGAGAGUAGGAAAAUGUGGGAUGGAAUAUUUAUCCAGAAACAUUUCUGAACAUUUGAUUUAUUGCUGUAUAACUGAUAAAUGUAGAAUACAGUACUUAAUAUUGUUAGCACUCCAUUUUUGUGUAAUAUAGGGCCAAGAUUUUCUCUUGGCACAUAUUGUUACCUUUAAUUUUAUCAUCUAUCAUUUUGGAUUUAAAAUAUUUUAGGCUUUAAUAGGUAUGAAUUUAGUCCUCUUGUAAAUGAACCAAAGUUUCAAAAAGGAAAAAAAAGUGAUGUUUGAAGAAAAAAGUGUAAACAAAAUAAAGAAAACAUGUAAUUUGCUCUUUAAUGUGCCUUAGAGAAGUUAAAAACUUGGCUGACAAUUAGUUGAUGACUUCCUAGGAAAAUGUAUAAAAAUAUCAAGACAUGUCAUAGCAUAAUUUAACAUUUUUUAUUAUAGUGCUCAUAUUUUUUGUUAAAUUGUGAUUAGAUUGCUAUCAAGAGCAAUAUUUAUUUUUUUAUAAUAUUUUCUCUUUCAGUAUUUAAUUUUUAUUCUCAUCUAUUCUUUCUCUAUCACCUUAAUUAUUUACCUUUUAUUUCUCUUUGCUAACUUCAUGUGAAAUUAAUAGUUAAAAAAUCAUUAAAUUAUUUGUAUUAAAACACCUCCAAAUAUUGAUUUUACCUUGCAUAAAGUCCAUGAGCCUUUAAUUCAUAGGUUAUCAUAUUUGUUGUAUAGUAUCUAAGGGAAAGCAGUUUUAUAAAGAAUUAUAGAAUUAAAGCAAAAGCAUAAAGCAUUUACAGUUGAGAUAGAGUCCACUUGUGAUAUUCAGUGCAUCUCCAGUAUUCAGUUAUAAAAUGUUAACUUUAAUGUCUUUUUUUUUUUUUUUUUUUGAGGGCCACAUGUGCAGUAUAUGGAAGUUCUCAGGCUAGGGAUUGAAUCACAGCUGAAGCUGCCAGCCUGCGCCACUGCCAUAGCAACACUGGAUCCAAGCCUCCUGGCCUGCAACCUACCCCACAGCUCACAGCAAUGCUGGAUCCUUAACCUACUGAGCAAGGUCAAGGACUGAACUUGAAUCCUCAUGGAUACUAGUCAGGUUCAUUACCACUGAGCCACAAGGAGAACACCUAAUGUCUUCAUUUCAAGUUGUAUAAGAUCAGUUCCUUCUAACUACCAAGAAUUAUCUCAAAAUGCUUUUUUUUUUUCUUUUGGUCUUUCUAAGGCCAUGCCUGUUGCAUAUGUAGGUUCCCAGGCUAGGGGUUGAAUCAGAGCUGCAGCUGCCAACCUACAGCACAGCCACAGCAACUCCAGAUCUGAGCCUCAUCUGAGACCUACACCACAGCUCACAGCAACCCCGGAUCCUUAACCCACUGCAUGAGGCCAGGGAUCAAACCCGAGGCCUCAUGGAUACUAGUUGGAUACAUUACCUCUGAGCCAUGAUGGGAACUCCUGCUCUUGUUUUACUUUGUGCCAUUUUCAGAAUUGUGAACAGUCUGUUGAAAAAUCAUUUUUCAGAUUGAUUUUUUAUCCAUUAAUUUGUGUAUAUUAACACUACUGAAGUCUCUUUAAUAAUUCUUAUUUUAUUGCUUUAUGAAAACAAACACAGGAUGUACCAAAACUUAAGCUGUAAAACCAAGUAAAUUUGAGAAUCAAUACACUAUUGACAAAAGCACUGCCAUACCCUUGGUAUAAGCAAUGCCCUUUCUUCAGAAAAGUAGCAGUUGCAAUCUCUGUUUUAACAUGCAAAUGUAUAGUGUACUCCAAAGCCAUCAAUUUAAGCCAAUACUUCUGCUACAGUUUUUGGCAAACCCCUUGUCCAGUGUCCAUCAUUUAAUUUCACCUUGACCAUGUCCUUGCCAUCCUCCCUUACCACAAGUAUUCCCUUGCUUUGCUUUCCUUUCACUUACCAUACUUCUUUGUUACUUUUGAUUCGUAUUCCUUAGUGAACUUUAAGUCAUAUCUCUCCCCAUAGUAUUUAAAAAUGAAUUACUAAAGGAAUUUGAAGACAAAAAUUAAAUAAGAAGGAGGAAAAGGAAGACGAGAAAAUGAAAAAGAGAAAUAAAGAGAAGAGAGAAGAAAAAGACAAGGAUACAAGAUGUAAAGAAUGUUAAAAGAGAGGGGCAGAGAUUAUAGCAGAGACAUAAAGUCCCCAGUUGUUGAAAGGAAAUUUCUUUUCUCUUCAACUACCCUAUAGAUUCACUGUCAACAAACUAUCAUGGUAAGAAAGGAUUUUUGAGCUUCACAUGGUAUGGUCACAAAUGUAGCCCUAAUGAUAACUUUAAAAGGUACCUUUCCCUAAAACAGGUGAUAUCCAUCUUUUAUUUUAUGAUCAAAUAAACACUAUUAAUGAGUCAAAUAGCUCAAGUAAAUCUCUUAAACAGCUUAAUAAUAAGGAAUUAAAUUGUGUAUUAUAUUCAAGUUAGAAAGGUAACUUCUGAUUGCAGUUUCAAUUGAAACUGGUUUUCCAGUUUCUAUUGAGAUUGCAAUAGGAGCACUCAAACUCAGACCAAGUGUUAAUCAAAUGGCUCUUGUGGGGGUAUGAAAAAGCUACCUCAUAAAGUUAAGCCAUUUGCAUUGGGUUACAUUUGUUCACACCUAUUGAAUUACUAAUCCCAUUAUAUUACUUUUAGUAAUUUAGGUUCACUGGGGCAGAGAAAGAAUUAGAUUGACAAUGAUAGCAGCCCCAAAGAGAAGAUUAUUUCUGCUUCCUAUUUUCAGGGUUAAUUUCAGUUAAGCAGAAUGAAUUAUAACCAAAAGCUAACAGUUAAUCAUGUUGGCAAUACUUUAGUGUCUCAAUUUGUCAUCAAAAAUACUCUUUUAGUUCAAAAAAAAUAGAGGAUGACAGGCAUUCUUAUACUGACAUUUUGUUUUAUUCAAUUAUUAUUUCACUUUAAAAACACAUUUUUAUAUUCUCCAAUGCUUUCACAAUUUCUAAUGUAGAUUACAGAAAUGUUAGGAAACAAACUGUGUUAUCUUGGUAAUCUUCAUCAUUAAAUACUUUACAGUCAUACAAAAUUAAAAAAAAAUUUUUCUUAGAUUUUUAUGCUUCCAUCUACACAUUAUAUAUUUGAAAGGAAACUCUAAGGGAAAGUUUUAGGUAUCAAGACAUAGUUUUGUAAUUAUGAAAAAUAGCUGAUUUAGGAAAAAUCUUCAAAAUAAGAAUUGCCAUGUGUGGCAGCCUAAGAAGUAAUGACCCUGAUACUUGAUGUAUUUGUGUGUGUAUGUAUACACAGUUUAUAUAUAUACAUAUAUGCCUUUGUGUGUGUAUAUAUACACAAACACAUGUUUUAUUUAUAAUUUUAUAUAGCUUAUAAUUACACAAUUGAUAUAUCAUGUAAAUAUAUAUGAUAUAAUUAUGUACAUCUAUACAUAAAUAUGCAUAUAUUUAUUUAUAUUUUAUUAUUGCUAUUUUACAUAUGUUGAUAUAUUUCCAGAUCACUGUAUUUUUCCUUUCUAGUAGUUACAGCAAUGUUAUUUUCUCUGCUUGUUUUCUCUCUGUGUCUUGGUACCUCUAUACACUCACACUCUUUGCAUUAAUACUGUUCCCACAAAAAGUGAUAAAUAUGUUGGAAAAUGACCAAUUCAUAAAAAUAAAUAAAUAACUUUGCAAUAUUUUUAGCAUUAUACCUAAAAAUAUCAUUAUACCUAAAAAUAUUCUAAGUAUACAACUGCAUUUAAGUGUAAUAGGAUUGUCACUCAGUAAUGUUCCUUGGAGAAGAACUGUUAGUGGAGUUUUAGAAAGUAAGAAGCACACAGGUUUAACUUACAAAAGAUGUACUAACAGAAAUGAAGUUUCUUCCUUAGGUAUCUGGUUUUCCAGUUUUAUCACCAAAGGAUGGAUGGUCAAAGAGGCCAUAAAUAUAGGCCAAUUUAGUAUAGUCCACCAAGCUAAUUAUAAACAGAGAUUUUGCAAACAACAAAUACUAUUCUGAUCAUCCAUAUAGUUUUGAAAAAUAGAGCUGUUGACACACCAACAACUUACAAUGAUGUUCCCUUCAGUCAAGGCGUGAGGUUAAAUGCAUCCACAGGGUAACACUUUAAAGUAUGAGGCUUAUAUAUAAAAUUAGUGAGUUGAGAGCUAUUAAAUUCUAUCCGUGAUUAAUUAUUAGAUGUAUUUUUGUGCUAUUCUCUGGUUUGGAGGAUUUAUAAAUGACAAGACAUGUUUUGAGAGCCAGGAAAUAUUGGAAUAAUAUUCAAUUCCUACUUUUGUUUAAUUAUCUGGUCUCUCUGUAGGGUUUCUGAGGCAAGUAUAUGCACAAAUGGGAAAUAAAGCAGUGUUAACAGAUGGGCCAGUGUUCUGAUAUCACCUCCACAGGCCUCUCUGGUCUCUAGGUUACCAUUUCUUAUCCCCCAAGUCACAUUCAUAUUACUGGUAUAUACCUGGAAUUGACACCAGUGACAGGUCAGUUUAUUCAAAAUAUGACCUUAUAGAGAAUCCCCAUUGUGGCUCAGGGGGUUGUGAACCCAACUAGUAUCCAUGAAGAUUCGGGUUUGAUCCCUGGCCUCAAUCUCUGGGUUAAGGUUACAGCGUUGCUGUGAGCUGAGAUGUAGGUUGAAGAUGAGGCUCGGAUCUGGCAGUGUUGUGGCUGUGACUUAGGCCAGCAGCUGCAGGUCCUAUUCGACCGUUAACCUAGGAAUUUCUAUAAGCUGCGGAUGUGCCCCUAAAAAUGAAAAGAAAAAAAAA
rnacentral:lncRNA from 1 species